GAUGAACGCUAGCGAUAGGCCUAACACAUGCAAGUCGAGGGGCAUCACAUGAAGUAGCAAUACGGAUGGUGGCGACCGGCGCACGGGUGAGUAACACGUAUGCAACCUGCUUUCAACAAGGGGAUAACCCGUUGAAAGACGGACUAAUACCCUAUAACACAGGGGUCCCGCAUGGGAAUAUUUGUUAAAGGACAACCGGUUGAAGAUGGGCAUGCGUUCCAUUAGCUAGUUGGCGGGGUAACGGCCCACCAAGGCAACGAUGGAUAGGGGAACUGAGAGGUUUAUCCCCCACACUGGUACUGAGACACGGACCAGACUCCUACGGGAGGCAGCAGUGAGGAAUAUUGGUCAAUGGACGCAAGUCUGAACCAGCCACGUCGCGUGAAGGAAGACGGCCCUACGGGUUGUAAACUUCUUUUAUACGGGGAAUAAAGUGCCCCACGCGUGGGGUUUUGCAUGUACCGUAUGAAUAAGGAUCGGCUAACUCCGUGCCAGCAGCCGCGGUAAUUACUGACUC
rnacentral:rRNA from 1 species